rnacentral:rRNA from 1 species
CCCUUUUAUGUCCUGGGCCGCACGCGCGCUACACUGAUCAGUGCAACGAGCUUUGAACUGGGUCGGAAGACCACGGUUAAUCUUGGAAAGCUGAUCGUGAUGGGGAUAGAUCCUUGGAAUUUUUGAUCUUCAACGAGGAAUUCCUAGUAGACGCAAGUCAUCAACUUGCAUCGAUUACGUCCCUGCCCUUUGUACACACCGCCCGUCGCUCCUACCGAUUGGGUGCUCCGAUGAAGUCGGUGGACUGUUGGGGCCUCUGCCUAGCAAGCCCAAGAGCAGGAAACCGCCUGAUUUUUAGCAUUUAGAGGAAGGAGAAGUCGUAACA